CACGCCGUAAACGAUGCUAACUCGUUUUUGGGCUUUCGGGUUCAGAGACUAAGCGAAAGUGAUAAGUUAGCCACCUGGGGAGUACGUUCGCAAGAAUGAAACUCAAAGGAAUUGACGGGGGCCCGCACAAGCGGUGGAUUAUGUGGUUUAAUUCGAUGAUACGCGAGGAACCUUACCAAGACUUAAAUGGGAAAUGACAGAUUUAGAAAUAGAUCCUUCUUCGGACAUUUUUCAAGGUGC
rnacentral:rRNA from 1 species